AGUCGACGAUGAAUCUUCUAGCUUGCUAGAAGUGGAUUAGUGGCGCACGGGUGAGUAAUGCAUAGGUUAUGUGCCCUUUAGUCUGGGAUAGCCACUGGAAACGGUGAUUAAUACUGGAUACUCCCUACGGGGGAAAGUUUUUCGCUAAAGGAUCAGCCUAUGUCCUAUCAGCUUGUUGGUGAGGUAAUGGCUCACCAAGGCUAUGACGGGUAUCCGGCCUGAGAGGGUGAUCGGACACACUGGAACUGAGACACGGUCCAGACUCCUACGGGAGGCAGCAGUAGGGAAUAUUGCUCAAUGGGGGAAACCCUGAAGCAGCAACGCCGCGUGGAGGAUGAAGGUUUUAGGAUUGUAAACUCCUUUUGUUAGAGAAGAUUAUGACGGUAUCUAACGAAUAAGCACCGGCUAACUCCGUGCCAGCAGCCGCGGUAAUACGGAGGGUGCAAGCGUUACUCGGAAUCACUGGGCGUAAAGAGUGCGUAGGCGGGGUAAUAAGUCAGAUGUGAAAUCCUGUAGCUUAACUACAGAACUGCAUUUGAAACUGUUACUCUGGAGUGUGGGAGAGGUAGGUGGAAUUCUUGGUGUAGGGGUAAAAUCCGUAGAGACCAAGAGGAAUACUCAUUGCGAAGGCGACCUGCUGGAACAUUACUGACGCUGAUGCACGAAAGCGUGGGGAGCAAACAGGAUUAGAUACCCUGGUAGUCCACGCCCUAAACGAUGGAUGCUAGUUGUUGCCUUGCUUGUCAGGGCAGUAAUGCAGCUAACGCAUUAAGCAUCCCGCCUGGGGAGUACGGUCGCAAGAUUAAAACUCAAAGGAAUAGACGGGGACCCGCACAAGCGGUGGAGCAUGUGGUUUAAUUCGAAGAUACGCGAAGAACCUUACCUAGGCUUGACAUUGAU
rnacentral:rRNA from 1 species